rnacentral:rRNA from 1 species
AUUGAACGCUAGCGGGAUGCUUUACACAUGCAAGUCGAACGACAGCGCGGACUUCGGUCUGGCGGCGAGUGGCGAACGGGUGAGUAAUGUAUCGGAACGUGCCCAGUAGCGGGGGAUAACUACGCGAAAGCGUAGCUAAUACCGCAUACGCCCUACGGGGGAAAGCAGGGGAUCGUAAGACCUUGCACUAUUGGAGCGGCCGAUAUCGGAUUAGCUAGUUGGUGAGGUAACGGCUCACCAAGGCGACGAUCCGUAGCUGGUUUGAGAGGACGACCAGCCACACUGGGACUGAGACACGGCCCAGACUCCUACGGGAGGCAGCAGUGGGGAAUUUUGGACAAUGGGGGCAACCCUGAUCCAGCCAUCCCGCGUGUGCGAUGAAGGCCUUCGGGUUGUAAAGCACUUUUGGCAGGAAAGAAACGUCGCGGGCUAAUACCCCGUGGAACUGACGGUACCUGCAGAAUAAGCACCGGCUAACUACGUG